GACGACGCUGGCGGCGUGCCUAACACAUGCAAGUCGAGCGGAGAAUGCGGAUAUGUUUACAUAGAAGUAUUCUUAGCGGCGGACGGGUGAGUAACACGUGGGUAACCUGCCUCAAAGUGGGGGAUAGCCUUUCGAAAGGAAGAUUAAUACCGCAUAAGCCUACAGUGCCGCAUGGUACAGUAGGAAAAGGAGCAAUCCGCUUUGAGAUGGACCCGCGGCGCAUUAGCUAGUUGGUGAGGUAACGGCUCACCAAGGCGACGAUGCGUAGCCGACCUGAGAGGGUGAUCGGCCACAUUGGAACUGAGACACGGUCCAGACUCCUACGGGAGGCAGCAGUGGGGAAUAUUGCACAAUGGGCGAAAGCCUGAUGCAGCAACGCCGCGUGAGUGAUGAAGGCCUUCGGGUCGUAAAGCUCUUUGAUCAGGGAUGAUAAUGACAGUACCUGAAAAACAAGCCACGGCUAACUACGUG
rnacentral:rRNA from 1 species